GCCCGGAUGGUGAAAUUGGCAGACACGCUGGAUUUAGGUUCCAGUGCCGCAAGGCGUGGGGGUUCAAGUCCCCCUUCGGGCACCA
rnacentral:tRNA from 1 species